GUGGCGGACGGGUGAGUAACACGUGGGAACGUGCCUUUAGGUUCGGAAUAACUCAGGGAAACUUGUGCUAAUACCGAAUGUGCCCUUCGGGGGAAAGAUUUAUCGCCUUUAGAGCGGCCCGCGUCUGAUUAGCUAGUUGGUGGGGUAAUGGCCCACCAAGGCGACGAUCAGUAGCUGGUCUGAGAGGAUGACCAGCCACAUUGGGACUGAGACACGGCCCAAACUCCUACGGGAGGCAGCAGUGGGGAAUCUUGCGCAAUGGGCGAAAGCCUGACGCAGCCAUGCCGCGUGGAUGAUGAAGGUCUUAGGAUUGUAAAAUCCUUUCACCGGUGAAGAUAAUGACUGUAGCCGGAGAAGAAGCCCCGGCUAACUUCGUGCCAGCAGCCGCGGUAAUACGAAGGGGGCUAGCGUUGCUCGGAAUUACUGGGCGUAAAGGGAGCGUAGGCGGACAUUUAAGUCAGGGGUGAAAUCCCGAGGCUCAACCUCGGAACUGCCUUUGAUACUGGGUGUCUUGAGUGUGAGAGAGGUGAGUGGAACUCCGAGUGUAGAGGUGAAAUUCGUAGAUAUUCGGAAGAACACCAGUGGCGAAGGCGACUCACUGGCUCAUUACUGACGCUGAGGCUCGAAA
rnacentral:rRNA from 1 species